GCUGCCGUGCCUGAGUGGUUAAAGGGUAGGACUUGAAAUCCUAUGGGGUCUCCCUCGCAGGUUCGAAUCCUGUCGGCAGCG
rnacentral:tRNA from 1 species